AGCUCAUGAUUGGGCAUAAAGCGUGCGUAGGCGGGCAUUUAAGUCAGUGGUGAAAUCCUGGAGCUUAACUCCAGAACUGCCAUUGAUACUAUCUGCCUUGGAUAUUGUGGAGGUCUGCGGAAUAUGUCAUGUAGCGGUGAAAUGCUUAGAUAUGACAUAGAACACCUAUUGCGAAGGCAGCAGGCUACGCAUAUAUCGACGCUGAGGCACGAAAGCGUGGGGAUCAAACAGGAUUAGAUACCCUGGUAGUCCACGCCCUAAACGAUGAUUACUCGACAUUAGCGAUACACAGUUAGUGUCUGAGCGAAAGCAUUAAGUAAUCCACCUGGGAAGUACGACCGCAAGGUUGAAACUUAAAAGAAUUGACGG
rnacentral:rRNA from 1 species